rnacentral:rRNA from 1 species
AUGGGGGUGUUUAAACUGAAUCAAAGCUUCUGUGAUAGCUAUGAGAAAAUCAUAAGGGAUUUCUGGUGGGGGGGUAAAGAUGAUCACCGGAAAGUGCAUUGGAUGGCGUGGAAGAAUAUGACUAAACCAAAAAGAGAUGGGGGUAUAGGUUUCAGAGAUAUGCAUCUAUUUAACCAAGCACUUUUAGCGAGACAGGGAUGGAGACUACUACAAAACCCAGACAGUCUAUGCGCCAGAGUACUUAAGUCUAAGUACUAUCCCAACGGAGAACUUGUGGACACGGUCUUUGCCUCAGAUGCCUCCCCUGCCUGGCGUGGGAUCGAAUUUGGCUUGGAGCUGUUAAAAAAAGGACUAAUUUGGCGCGUUGGAAACGGAAGGAAAAUACAAAUUAUAAGAGACCAGUGGAUCCCA